CAACUUUCCUGACUAAACACUAUACACUAAUGUUUUUUAUGUUCCAUUUUAUAGGCAAGUGGGGUAAACUGUUCUGGGACCGAUAACGCUGUUUUGAAGUUUGGAGGAUUCUGAUGAUGUAGAUGAGUCGCUUCUGAAACUGGUGUGGGCAACAGCGGGAAACACAGACCUUCAGAUUGCUCACUGCACAGGAAGUGGUGAUAGAGGUAGUUCCCCAAGUCCUGUGGGGAUCCUGGGACCUUGACAUCCCAGAGUCAGUUCAAAAGCUCCACUAGUAUUACAAGGGCCACUUAGUAUCAAGUCUCCAAAACUCUCACAGCAAUGGAAAGCUAGGCCAUCUUCUCCUGCUCCAACAGAGACAUGACAUCCUGAGAGAAAUAAGAGAAAUAAACCAACAAGACAUUCUGCUCACUACAAUUGCUGAUUGCAAAGAACAACAAAAUCUUUCGCCCCCAGAUCCCCAAAAAGCCAGAUCAUAUGGCACCUGCUGCUCAAAGACUGGCAAAGGUUCAAGAUGACUUAAACAUUGCUGAGGAAGAACCUACACACAAGGCUCCACAUCAUCCCCUGCUGAACCUCCACCCUUGACGGAAGUUCAGGCCAAGGAUAAAACACUCCCGAUAUGUGAGGUUCAAGUCUCCGUUUUGAAACUUAAUUAAUGAUUGAGGUUCAGGCCCAUGAGGAACCCUCUUCUGAAAUUCUCUUCAUAAUAUUGUUAAUUGGUUCAACCAGUUGAACCAAUUAGCAAUAUUAAAGAGAAAUCUGAAGACCUUUGCACCAAGAAGAAAAAAGAAGAAAGAAAAACAGCUUCUUCUGAAUGCUCUUAAAAACUGUGCUGUUGCUGCAUAAGUGCCACAAAAACUGAUUGAUUGUCCUUAAGAUAAAUAAAAAAAAAAACACUAAAAUUAGUACUACAGCAAAGAUAAAAUUGGGAAAAGAUGACUUGUUUCAGCCCCUUUUUCUCUCCAUCCACUGUCCCUUUUGUCCCUCGUAGUUG